rnacentral:lncRNA from 1 species
UGGCCUUGUUGGAGGAAGUGUGCCACUGUGGAGACAGGCUUUGAGGUCUUAUAUAUGCUCAAGCCACAUCCAUUGUCUCAGUUUACUUCUUGUUGCCUGCAUAUCAAGAUGUAAAAACCUCAGCUCCUUCUCCAGCACCAUGUCUGUCUGCAUGCCGCCAUGUCCCACCAUGAUGAUAAUGGACUGAACCUCUGAACUGUAGAUAACUGAGGCACAGAAUUGAUCCCUGUCUGCGGGAGGAUGCAUGGCUGACAGAUAACAAGAGCUGGCAUGUCAACCCAGGUUGUGUGGUCCCAUAGCUCGUAUCUUCUAUUGUGAUUACCUUGCAUUUCUUAAGUGGUUCUGGAUGGAUAAUCCAUUUGUUUUCAUCUUUCUGAAGUCUCCUUCAACUGAUAUGUUCAGAUGCCAAGGCGCUGGGUGACACUAACCAGGCAAGAUGAACCCAUUCAUGCAAUAGUGGAAAGUGUUUUAUGGGGGUGUGAUGGUUUGAAUAAGAAUGGCCCCCAUCAGCUCAUAGAUUUGAAUGCUUGCUCACCAGGGCGUGGCACUAUUUGAAAGGACUAGAAGGUGUGGCCUUGUUGGAGGAAGUAUGUCACUGGGGGAACCCAAGCCAUCCCCAAUGGCAUUUUGUUCUUGUUGCCUGUGGAUCUCAGCUACUUCUCUAGCACCGUGUCUGCCUGUGUGCUGUCAUGCUCCCCACCAUGAUGGUAAUGGACUAAACCUCUGAAACUGGUCUGGAAUGAAGGGUUAAUUAUCUGACAACCUCAGGUGGGCUGAGCAACUCUGGAAAAGAAAGCUGAGUUGACUGACAACACCUGUGAAAACUUCUAAUCAGGAGACCCACAUAGCAAGCCAGCUGGGAUCAACCACUUCCACAUUGCAGGGGAACUGAGCUGCAGACGGACUCUUCUAUGCUCACAUUUCCCCCUUUUCCAUCCUAUAAAACCCCAACACCACCGAUGCCACUUGUGCAUUGUCUCCAUUCCAUAGAGAGUCUGUGGCUUUUCAGUCAUUCUGACUAAAAGACGAUUCUUCUUCUAGAAAUGACGGUCUGCUUUUAUUUCCAUACCACCUCCAUCAAAACCAAUUGUAUUGGCUGCUUUUGUGUGUCAACUUGACACAAGCUAGAGUCUUCAGAGAGGAAGGAGCCUCAGUUAAGGAAAUGCCUCCUUGAGAUUCAGCAUUUUCUCAUUUAGUGAUCAGUGGGGAAGGUCUCAGCCCAUGGUGGAUGGUGCCAUCUCUAGGCAGCUGGUCCUGGGUUCUAUAAGAAAACAGGCUGGGCAAACCAUUGGAAGCAAGCCAGUAAGCAGCCAUGGCCUCUGUAUCAGCUCCUGCCUCCAGGAUCCUGCCCUGUUUGAGUGCCUGUGCUGACUUCCUUCAGUGAUAAACAACAAUGCUGAAGUGUAAGCCAAAUAAACCCUUUCCACCCCAACUUGCUUUUUGGUCAUGGUGUUUUGUUGCAGCAGGGGAAACCAGAACUAAGAUGCCAAUCUAACAUCCUCCUAACAACUUCUAGUUCUUAGAGGUCUUCCA